rnacentral:lncRNA from 1 species
AUAGUUCCCCGCUAGAGGCACUAAUACAGCAGCUGAGCCUAGACUCUCCCGGAGCCCGAUGGUUGCUUAGCUACAGCUCUGGGAAGGAGGGGGAGGUGCUAACUGACGGCCGACGCUCUGGCAGCCGCCUUGGAACUCUGUGGUGGCAUUCGCGUCUGCGAGCUCCGGAGUGACUUUCCCUUCCUGUGAAGGCAAUCCGGCCCUUUCCGGUGGAGGACCCUUCCCCCUGGGUUGAUCUUGAGGAACUUAAGAGACGGUGUUUUGACUCGACUCCUUUCCCCUUUUUCCUCCCGGUACCAAAGCGGUUUUGUUUGCUGUUUAUACUCUACCCCGUGGAAAGGCGGCUAGCUGGCUAAAGGGUUUUAUGCCUGGGGGAGGAUGAGUCGCUAUUUGGUCGUGACUUGUUUCUGUUUAAAAUUAUUAUUAUUUACCAAAUGAAAAUGUUGUACUUACCAGUCCAAAGUGCGGGGCUUAUAUUGUUAGAAGACCACUUAAAAUGCUCCUGGAUUCUGACAAAUAUUGCAUGAGAAAUUUGCAAUCAGCCGUGAAGCAUGUUUCCCCUUCUGAAAGUUUAACACGUGCCGUAUCUACGGCUGGGAUCUAACACAUCCCAUUCCUACAGGCUGAGAUCCAGACCUUCUUAGAGAGAACACAGCCAGUGGAGAGUCACUCUAUGGCAGGAAAUAUUCUGUAUUGCCUUACAGGCAGAACUUGCUGAAACUCCAACCUCUGGAAAUUACUGGAACCCUGCAUUCUAGAACUUGCUGGAAACCCACCCUCUGGAAUUGGCCUGCUAGAGUGCCUGAGAAGGAUGUUCAUAGGGAAAUGUUUCAGCAGAGGAACUCUACUACAAAAACCACAAGAGGGAGGGUGCCAGGGGAAGUGGCCUGGUGCUAUUGAAACUGCAACACAGAAGCCAGCCACUGGAGAGAGCUGCACAAGCUGCAGGAACACCCUACCCAGUAAGCCGGCCAGAAGGAGGGAGCAAAACCUUUUCUCUCUGCAACAUCUUUCCAGUUUCCUCUACUGGAAAAGCUUCAUUGCCAGCUGACAAAAGGAAAAAUACUUAAAUGGAUCAGAUCCAUUUUCACAGAGCAGUCAAUAAUGGUGAAUUUGGAGAUGAUAAGCAACAAAUUGAUGAACUGGCACAACUUCCCUGCUACUUUCUUGAUUGUAAUGCCUAGAUAGGGAAUAGGAAAGUUAUUGAAAUGUAUGUGUUCCCAUGAAAUGUGUUUAUUUGUUGUUCAAGAUCAAUACUAAUAAAUGGGGACUAAUGUUCUGAAGUAUUUUGGAACAAUUAGAAUCACCACUCUUAACCCUGUGGCCAAAGUCUUAAAUGGACAGGGAGGAAAAUGUUUAUAAACUGAAGCAAAAAUUGAUCUACAUAGAAAAUAAAUCUGGAGUAUUUACUUGGUAGGUAUACUAGUUUCCUAGGGCUGCCAUAACAAGUUAUUACAAACUGGGUGGCUUAAAACAACAGAAAUUUGUUCUCUCACAGUUCUAAAGGCCAGAAAUCCAAAAUCAAGGUGUUUGCCAAAGCCAUGCUCUAGGGGAGAAUCCUUUGCUUCUUCCAGCUUCUGGUGGCUCCUGGCAUUACUUGGUUUGUGAGAGCAUAAUUCUAAUGUCCGCUUCUACCUUCAUAUGGCCUUCUUUCAUAUGACAUGUCAAAUCUUCCUCUCCUUUUUCUUAUAAGGACACCAGUCAUUGGAUUUCAGGCUCACCCUUAAGCCGGGAUGAUCUCAUCUCCAGAACCCUAACUUAAUUACAUCCACAAAGACCCUAUUUCUAAGUAAGAUCAUAUUCACGAGUACUGGGGUUAGGACAUGGACAUCUUUUUGGAGGACACAAUUCAAUCCACCAACACAUUUUUAUUUUACUUUGGUCUUUAAAAAGAAUAAGCCGAGUUCAGUGGCUCAUGCAUGUAAUCCCAGCACUUUGGGAGGCCAAGGCGAGCAGAUCACUUGAGGCCAGGAGUUCACGACCAGCCUGGUCAACAUAGCAAAACCCUAUCUCUACUAAAAAUACCAAAAUUAGGGCCGUGCGCGGUGACUCACGCCUAUAAUCCCAGCACUUUGGGAGGCUGAGACGGGCGGAUCACGAGGUCAGGAGACCGAGAACAUCCUGGCUAACACGGUGAAACCCCGUCUCUACUAAAAAUAAAAAAAAAUUAGCCCGGCGUGGUGGCGGGCGCCUGUAGUCCCAGCUACUCAGGAGGCUGAGGCAGGAGAAUGGCAUGAACCCGGGAGGCGGAGCUUGCAGUGAGCCGAGAUCGCGCCACUGCACUCCAGCCUGGGC